AGACCAUGAUGUGGACACUUCAUCUGCAAUUCUUUAAACCUCUCCUAGGCUUUAUACAAAGAUUCACCAUCAAGUUGAACAAAACUAGUAAUAUCAUUUCUAAGUUU